GACUUAAAAUACCAAGUUUAUUUAAAUCAUUAGCAUACAUGACAUCAUAGUCCAUCAUCUGUCACUAUCGUUAUGACAGGAUUGUCCAGUUUAUGAUAUAUAAACCAAUACAAAGCCUCCUUUUACUCAGUCCUCUCUGCAUCCAUACAAACAAACAAACCCACAUCUGAUAAUGCCUAGAUCUGUUUAAAUAAACCAAUAACAGGAAGAACACCCCCUGUUUCCUAUUCCUGUGCUCUGGGCAUGAAUAUUCCCCCAGUGGUCACUGCCUUCUCCCACGAUUCUCAGUGGGAAGUCUCUGGCUCCUUGCGUACGUCGUCGCUGUGAGGCAGACGUGUCAGGGGAAUACUGAAGAAUGUCUUUUUUGGGGUCUGUUGUGUUUUCACUCCCCACCUUUUCUCUGUAAUCCUCCCUCUAGGUUAUACAUAGCUGACAGCAUGGAGCUCUGAAUAGCCACUAAUAACCAGUGGGACCAAAAUGCAAGAGGAAGAGAAAACAUGUGCUUUCCACUGAUCCAGAGUAGUAACAGUCCACAGUUAUCAAUUUAUCUUGCGCGGACGUGAAUCAGAGUCCCAGACGUUGAGGUUUUCUCUGUUGAAAAUACAUCAUCUUUUUGGUACUGAUUGGAACGCCGACCAUGGAAAAUCCACAAAGUGCUCUCUGAAGUAUGUUAAAAAUAAAUUAAUAUGCUCUUGACAGUCAUUAGAACCAUACUAAACAAAGAGUUUACUGGGUCUAUAAUUGUUAUCCCUCAAGACUCUUGACUAAUGACGUUCAUGCUACUAUUGUUUUUCUGUAGUGACCUAUUCUGAUCUCUAAUGGCUCCUCUGUUUCUUUCCAGAAGUUAUGACCAAUAAAAAUGUUUAAUGUUUAGUACUCUUUCAAA